GACGAACGCUGGCGGCGUGCUUAACACAUGCAAGUCGAGCGGUAAGGCCCGUUUCGGGGGUACACGAGCGGCGAACGGGUGAGUAACACGUGGGUGACCUGCCCUUAGCUCUGGGAUAAGCCUGGGAAACUGGGUCUAAUACCGGAUAUGACUCCAUGACGCAUGUUGUGGGGUGGAAAGCCUUGUGCGGCUAGGGAUGGGCCCGCGGCCUAUCAGCUUGUUGGUGGGGUGAUGGCCUACCAAGGCGACGACGGGUAGCCGGCCUGAGAGGGCGACCGGCCACACUGGGACUGAGACACGGCCCAGACUCCUACGGGAGGCAGCAGUGGGGAAUCUUGCGCAAUGGGCGAAAGCCUGACGCAGCGACGCCGCGUGAGGGAUGACGGCCUUCGGUUA
rnacentral:rRNA from 1 species